rnacentral:tRNA from 1 species
GAGCCCGUGGCUCAAUUGUUAGAGCGUUGGACUCGUGACCAAAAUGGUCGCAGGUUCGAGCUUCCUGUUGGGCACC